rnacentral:piRNA from 1 species
UUCUUCAUCAGAUAUAAUUGUCUCGGAGG